AAUUAGGAGAUCUGGAUUGGGAGAAGCUCUCUGCUCUUUUUUGAUGGACUCUCAUAGCAAACUGGAGAAAAUGAAGCUGAAUAAUUGUGAGCUGACAGAGAAAAGCUGUUCGGUUCUAGCUACCGUCUCUCUCCUCCAAAACAGUCCUGAAAGAGAUGAACCUGAACAACAGCCGUCUGCUGGACUCAGGAGUCAAAGAGAUCUGUGAGGGACU